rnacentral:rRNA from 1 species
GACAGAGGUGCCGAGCGUUAGGCGGAAUCACUGGGCUUAAAGCGUGUGUAGGCGGGUCGUUAAGUGUCUUGUGAAAUCCCACCGCUCAACGGUGGAACUGCUGGGCAUACUGGCGAUCUUGAGCCACCUAGGGGCAGACGGAACAAGCGGUGGAGCGGUGAAAUGCGUAGAUAUCGCUUGGAACGCCGACGGUGAAAACAGUCUGCUGGGGGUGUGCUGACGCUGGAGACACGAAAGCCAGGGGAGCGAACGGG